rnacentral:rRNA from 1 species
CAGGCCUAACACAUGCAAGUCGAGCGGUAACAUUUCCAGCUUGCUGGAAGAUGACGAGCGGCGGACGGGUGAGUAAUACUUGGGAACUUACCUCUAGGCGGGGGACAACCACUGGAAACGGUGGCUAAUACCGCAUAAUGUCUACGGACCAAAGUGGGGGACCUUCGGGCCUCACACCUAGAGAUGGGCCCAAGCGGGAUUAGCUUGUUGGUGGGGUAAUGGCUCACCAAGGCGACGAUCUCUAGCUGUUCUGAGAGGAUGAUCAGCCACACUGGGACUGAGACACGGCCCAGGCUCCUACGGGAGGCAGCAGUGGGGAAUAUUGGACAAUGGGGGCAACCCUGAUCCAGCCAUGCCGCGUGUGUGAAGAAGGCCUUCAGGUUGUAAAGCACUUUCAGUGGUGAGGAAAGGGUAAUCGUUAACAGCGAUUACAGUUGACGUUAGCCACAGAAGAAGCACCGGCUAACUCCGUGCCAGCAGCCGCGGUAAUACGGAGGGUGCAAGCGUUAAUCGGAAUUACUGGGCGUAAAGCGUACGUAGGCGGUGUGUUAAGCAAGAUGUGAAAUCCCCGAGCUCAACCUGGGAAUGGCAUUUUGAACUGGCACACUAGAGUCCUGAAGAGGGUGGUAGAAUUUCCAGUGUAGCGGUGAAAUGCGUAGAUAUUGGAAGGAAUACCAGUGGCGAAGGCGGCCACCUGGUCAGAGACUGGCGCUGAGGUACGAAAGCGUGGGUAGCAAACAGGAUUAGAUACCCUGGUAGUCCACGCCGUAAACGAUGUCAACUAGAUGUUCGUGUCUUUAAGACGUGAGUAACGCAGCUAACGCACUAAGUUGACCGCCUGGGGAGUACGGCCGCAAGGUUAAAAC